UGGGGAAUAUUGGACAAUGGGGGCAACCCUGAUCCAGCCAUGCCGCGUGCGUGAAGAAGGCCUUAGGGUUGUAAAGCGCUUUUGUCAGGGAAGAUAAUGACUGUACCUGAAGAAUAAGCCCCGGCUAACUCCGUGCCAGCAGCCGCGGUAAGACGGAGGGGGCUAGCGUUGUUCGGAAUUACUGGGCGUAAAGGGCGCGUAGGCGGUUAUGUGUGUCAGAUGUGAAAUCCCAAGGCUCAACCUUGGAACUGCAUUUGAAACUGCAUGACUAGAGUGAGUAAGAGGCGGACGGAAUUCCGAGUGUAGCAGUGAAAUGCGCAGAUAUUCGGAGGAACAUCGGUGGCGAAGGCGGUUCGCUGGUACUCUACUGACGCUGAGGCGCGAAAGCGUGGGGAGCAAA
rnacentral:rRNA from 1 species